rnacentral:rRNA from 1 species
UAUGUGAUCGUCUCUCGCAUAUCAAUAAGCGGAGGAAAAGAAACUAACAAGGAUUCCCUUAGUAACGGCGAGUGAAGCGGGAAGAGCUCAAAUUUGAAAUCUUCAAGGUUUUACCUUGACGAAUUGUAGUUUAAAGAAGUGUUUUCUGCUGAAGUUUUGGUAAAAGUUCUUUGGAAUAGGACAUCAUAGAGGGUGAGAAUCCCGUAUUUGACCAUUAUUUUCAGCUUUGUGAUACACUUUCAAAGAGUCGGAUUGUUUGGGAAUGCAGUCCAAAAUGGGUGGUAAAUUUCAUCUAAAGCUAAAUAUUGGCGAGAGACCGAUAGCGAACAAGUACCGUGAGGGAAAGAUGAAAAGAACUUUGAAAAGAGAGUUAAACAGUACGUGAAAUUGUCAAAAGGGAAGCGUUUGACACCAGUGUUGUUUUCUCGAAAAUCAAUUAAAAAUGGCUCGAUUUUGUAUUGCUGUAGACCUUAAAAGCUCACUGUACAUUUUUCGUGUCUUUUUUAAUGCACUUUUCGUUUAACAAGUCAACAUCAGUUUCUUUUGUUGUAAAAGGGUCAUUGGAAGGUGGCUUUCUUUUCGGAGAAAGUGUUUAUAGCCUUUGGCCUCUGCAAUCGAAGAGACUGAGGUCUGCAGCGUAGACUCUUCGGGGUUAGAUACAUUUGUGCUAAGUUAGUAGCUUUUAUAGACAACUUGUUGACUAUAAUUAGUCUUGUAGCUUACUCGCUUAUGCUAUUUUACCUACGCUUAGGAUGUUGACGAUCAGCUGAGCGCG